UCUAUAGUAACCAUAGAAAGCUGUGUGCAA
rnacentral:piRNA from 1 species